CGUUGAGAAGUUCGUUGUGCAAAUCAAUGUGCCUUGAAGUGUAAACUUGUUUAUUUGGAAGAAAUUGUUUAGAGUUAAGUAUUUAGUUCUAUUAAAAUCAUUUUUUAAUAUAGAUAUUUUAGUAAUUUGAAGUAAAAAGAUUUUGUUAAGGCUAUAGUGAAGAGUACUGUGAAGGAAAGGUGAAAUAAUAUGAAAUAAUUUAACUGGAAAAAAGUAAAAGUUAAGUUUUGUACCUUGUGUAUUAGGGAAAAUUAAAAUUUUCUUUUUAUAUUAAGAAAUCCCGAAAAAAGAAGAGUUAAUGUAAAAUAGAGUUUUUCGUUUUAAAGAAAUUUUGAAUUUUAUAUUGGUGAUGAGAUGUCAGUCGUUUCUUUAUAUCUGGUUAUUAAUGAAUUAAAUUUAAUUUAGUUAUUUUUUGAUAGAGUUGAAGUUAAAAAAUAGUAAAGAAUAGGAGGGAAGAGCUUCUUAUUCUAUAAUAAAUUAAUUGUGAGUUGUCAUUGUAAAUUUGUAUUAAAUUAGGCUUAAAAGCAGUCAAAUU
rnacentral:rRNA from 1 species